CCUACGGGGAGCAGCAGUGAGGAAUAUUGGUCAAUGGACGAGAGUCUGAACCAGCCAAGUAGCGUGAAGGAUGACUGCCCUAUGGGUUGUAAACUUCUUUUAUAUGGGAAUAAAAUGUUCCACGUGUGGGAUUUUGUAUGUACCAUAUGAAUAAGGAUCGGCUAACUCCGUGCCAGCAGCCGCGGUAAUACGGAGGAUCCGAGCGUUAUCCGGAUUUAUUGGGGUUAAAGGGAGCGUAGGUGGAUUGUUAAGUCAGUUGUGAAAGUUUGCGGCGCAACCGUAAAAUUGAAGUUGAAACUGGCAGUCUUGAGUACAGUAGAGGUGGGCGGAAUUCGUGGUGUAGCGGUGAAAUGCUUAGAUAUCACGAAGAACUCCGAUUGCGAAGGCAGUUCACUGGACUGCAACUGACACUGAGGCUCGAAAGUGGGGGUAUCAAACAGGAUUAGAUACCCCUGUAGUC
rnacentral:rRNA from 1 species